AAGUCGUAACAAGGUCUCCGUUGGUGAACCAGCGGAGGGAUCAUUAAAGAGUUUAUAAAACUCCUAAACCCAUGUGAACUUACCAUUGUUGCCUCGGCGGGGAAACCUACCCUGUAGCGAGCUACCCGCCGGUGGACCACUAAACUAUUGUUAAUGAUGAAAUCUGAGCGUCUUAUUUUAAUAAGUUAAAACUUUCAACAACGGAUCUCUUGGUUCUG
rnacentral:misc_RNA from 1 species